CAGGCCGGUCUUGAACUCCUGGCAUCAAGCGAUCCUCCUGCCUUGGCCUCUCAGAGUGCUAGGAUUACAGGUGCAAACCACCGAACAGCGCAAGGAGAUGGGUGGGAAUGUUGACGCAGGGACACAGGCAUUUGGGGAGAUGUGAGGAUCCUUUCUUUGGAUAAGACUGGGGCUCACUCAUUCUCUAUGGAGCCUCCCAAACACUGAAGGAGGCUCAUUGUGAUGUAGUCCUUGUGUCUGGUGCCCUGUGGGGGUAGAGAGAGCAGAAGACCGACCUCAACCUGCUGCAGGAACAAGACAAGGCAGGAGGAAUUUCAAAACGCUCACCUUUCACAAGCCCUGAUUCCAUCGAUUCUUUGAAUCUUCCAAGAAGUCCACAGAGCAUGGCAAUGGUGAAAGGCAGUUUUCCUCGAAUGAGACCAUCAGACAGGCAUGCCCGGGACCAGCUGUGGGAAUCCUGAGAGACAGACAUGAAGCACUCCACUUGGAAAUGCUUUCUUAGUCUUUAAAUUUAACGUUCAAAGGGAUGAGGGAUUUUUAUCAACAGCAGCCAGCUGCAAUGCAAAGUCAUGCUUUCUUGUCUCAGUUCAAAUGGCCAUUAGCCGCCCAUAUCACAGUCUCCAUUUUCAAGCCAAUUUUGGUUUAAAGGUGACCCUACUCUCAAAAAUCAUUAAAUAAUAAGUGGUCUCACUCUAAUUUUUCAGCUUCUCUCUGACUUUGCAACUCACUAAAAGGAAGGCUCUGCCUGCCGCCUGUGAGCUUCUGAAGUGGAAUAAAAUUUGCUUUCUCUUUGGGGAGGUCGUCUUUGGUGUUCUAACACACACGGAGGAAGCCUCAACCGUUAGAAAGGUUUUCAGUGCUUUCCGCACAGGCGCAAGGUAGAAACCUCGUGGCCUACCAUUAAAUAAUAACAAAAGCCGCCACAAAACAUCAGGGAUUGCCAUGGGCUUAGUCACUUACGUUUCAAAAUGUUCCUCUGUUCCAGUUCUUCCGCAGUUGGCCUCUGGCUCAGCCGCCUACGGAAAAAAUCCAGGAAAAGUUUUUGGACCAUAUCAUAGCCUCCUUGGGUCAUUAAUCUCCUCGGCCCUUGCAGAUACAUGAGACAGAGUCAGUGGCUGGAGUUCUUGUUCCAUCCUGUGCUCUGAAAGACUGACUCUCGCCACCACCGCCUCCUCAGUUCCUCAAUUUCAAGCCCAGGAGAGGCACGUGCGUCAUGUCACAGCCGCUGACCCCCGCCCUCCUCCCUGCAGCGGCCCCUCCCCAGCCCCGUCUCCUCCAGUGGCCCCAGGCAAGUGGACUGCAACUUAGACGGGACUCUUGUCUUCACAGAAGUCCUUUUCUUUCCUUGUGGCCUCCUAACUUGGGGACUGUGGCCUCUUGCCUCUCCCUCCCUUGAGGCUAAAGCCUGUCUUGUGCGUCUUCUGUGCAGACUCAGAACAUAAAGAGGCCUGUGGCCUCGGGGACAUGUGAGAGCGUGUGUCUGUCUGCAGAGAACAACGGCUGCUCUUCUUUUGGUCCUGCUCCUCUUAUUCCAGAGCCUUAGAGGACAUGAGUGGCAAAGGCACAGAAAUGACACUCCUGUGGCCAGGCAUGAAAUUUAGCCACCGUAAGUGAAGCAUCAUAGCCAGGGCAUGAGCCUGCAAUGAUGCAAUGCGUGGAGGCAGGGACAGGCAGUGGAUGGCACGUAGUGACAGAAGUAGCCAGGGAACGGGCAUGGCAUCCGAGGGGGGAAUGCCUGCAUUAGGUCCCAGGAAUGACUGACACGGACUCAGGAGCCUGAGCAGGAACAGAGACGUCUGUACCUUUGAAGUUUUGGUAAUUAUUUAACAACGCUGCAAUUAUCCAGCAUUCCACUUCACCCACUGGGAUGAGGUGUGUGAGACUGAAUCAUUGCAGAGGAAAUUUUAGGCUUCUCAGACUCCUCUACUGGGAUCUAAGGGAUAGAGAGGAUGCUCUCCUAGUUACGGAAGUUGCAGUUCCUCCCUGGGUAUUAGAAACUGGUGUCCAUAGUUGGCAAGAUGUUCACAUCUUAAAAUCUGAAGAGAGAUCCUAGAGUGAAAAUAUAAGUCAAUGAAGUCUCCAAACAUAACUACAGUUGGUUCUCUGUAUCCAUGAAUUCCACAUUCUUCGGUUCUACCAACUGCAGAUGGAAAAUAUUUUAAAAAUACAAACAA